rnacentral:rRNA from 1 species
UAACGCGUGGGGAACCUACCCUAUACAGGGGAUAACAGCUGGAAACGGCUGCUAAUACCGCAUAAGCGCACAGAAUCGCAUGAUUCAGUGUGAAAAGCCCUGGCAGUAUAGGAUGGUCCCGCGUCUGAUUAGCUGGUUGGUGAGGUAACGGCUCACCAAGGCGACGAUCAGUAGCCGGCUUGAGAGAGUGAACGGCCACAUUGGGACUGAGACACGGCCCAA